rnacentral:ncRNA from 12 species
GGGUGUCCGCACUGUUGUGCUUUGGCAGGUCAUAGCGCUGGUCGGGCCGCCAGCG